rnacentral:rRNA from 1 species
GACGGGGGAUGCAAGCGUUAUCCGGAAUCACUGGGCGUAAAGCGUCUGUAGGUGGUGAUGCAAGUCACUGGUGCAAAACUCUGGCUCAACCGGAGGAAAGCCAGUGAAACUGCAUGACUAGAGUGUGGGAGAGGUAGAAGGAAUUCCCUGAGUAGCGGUGAAAUGCGUAGAUACAGGGAAGAACACCGGAGGCGAAAGCGCCCUACGGGAACACAACUGACACUGAGAGACGAAAGCUAGGGGAGCGAAUGGG